rnacentral:lncRNA from 1 species
CUGUUCCUGAGGUCGUUGUUGCGGUUGCGGGAUAUUCUGCUAAAUGUAUUGAGGUUGUUAUUGUGUAAACUGUAUUGUUGCCAUUUCUGAACUUGUGGUUGAGAUUGUUGUAAGAACUGUGGCUGGUAGCCUGGAGCUACUACUGCAAUAUGUUGUUGUUGAUAUUUCUUCCUUGGUCGUCUGUGUACUACGGCACUGACAUCUUGCUCUUUCUUCUUAGGGAACCCCACUCCUAACUUUUUG